ACUUGAACUGUGAAAGGUUUUCAAAAUGUGGAAAAUUUUAUUAUUUCUGUUGUUGAUCUGUACAGUGGGACAAGAUUGCUUUGCACUAUAUUUAAAGAACAGUGAUUGUCCAAAUGGAUUAUUCUAUGUUCUUGGAAUGUGCAUUUCGGAAGACCAAUAUCGUGAAAUAUUUGAAAUUUGAAAAAUUAUGGAGGAGGAUCGUAGGGACGGCUUCGGAAGAAAAAAUAGAAUUUUUCGGGCGAAAAAUCGUAUUUUACUAGAACUUUAAAAUAAUACUAUAUCUAAUUAUAAUCUAACUUCAAGAAUGUUUACAAACAAAUUAAAUGUUUUUUU